AAGCCUCAAAAAUCAUGCAACAUGUUGGGAAUCAGCAUAUCAAAUUUCAUGGCAAUUGGACAAUGUAUGAGCAUUUCACAAUAGAAUUGGUACAACAUGUCACAUUUGCAUGCAUGUUCAAAUAAUCAAUCACAUUUAAAAUUCCAAAAAUGAUAAAAUCAUGAAAUCAGUAUCACAAAAUAAUAGACAUCCAAAUGAUCAUGUAGGAAAAAAUUGGAAGUGAUUUGGAUUCAUUUUCUAUUUGUUAUGAUUUUUU
rnacentral:lncRNA from 1 species